AUGUACAUGCUUACAACAUAGAAUUUAUGCACUAGAUCCCAUUAGAACUCCGUAGUGAAGCGUGCUUGGGCUAGAGUAGUAUUGGGAUGGUGACUGCCUGGGAAUUCCUAGUAUUUUACAUU
rfam:Picea glauca, whole genome shotgun sequence.